GAAAUGCGAUAAGUAAUGUGAAUUGCAGAAUUCAGUGAAUCAUCGAAUCUUUGAACGCACCUUGCGCUCCUUGGUAUUCCGAGGAGCAUGCCUGUUUGAGUGUCAUGGAAUUCUCAACUUAUAAAUCCUUGUGAUCUAUAAGCUUGGACUUGGAGGCUUGCUGGCCCUUGCGGUCGGCUCCUCUUGAAUGCAUUAGCUUGAUUCCGUACGGAUCGGCUCUCAGUGUGAUAAUUGUCUACGCUGUGACCGUGAAGUGUUUUGGCAAGCUUCUAACCGUCCAUUAGGACAACUUUUUAACAUCUGACCUCAAAUCAGGUAGGACUACCCGCUGAACUUAAGC
rnacentral:misc_RNA from 1 species